rnacentral:rRNA from 1 species
ACGGCUCAGUAACACGUGGUUAACCUGCCCUAAGGUCUGGCAUAACCCCGGGAAACUGGGGAUAAUACCGGAUAACGCAUAUGUGCUGGAAUGCUUUAUGCGUCAAAGGUCCUCCGCCUAAGGAUGGGUCUGCGGCCUAUCAGGUAGUAGCGGGUGUAAUGUACCUGCUAGCCGACGACGGGUACGGGUUGUGAGAGCAAGAGCCCGGAGAUGGAUUCUGAGACAUGAAUCCAGGCCCUACGGGGCGCAGCAGGCGCGAAAACUUUACAAUGCGGGAAACCGUGAUAAGGGGACACCGAGUGCCAGCAACAUUUGCUGGCUGUCCAGGUGUGUAAACUACACCUGUUAGCAAGGGCCGGGCAAGACCGGUGCCAGCCGCCGCGGUAACACCGGCGGCCCGAGUGGUGAUCGUUAUUAUUGGGUCUAAAGGGUCCGUAGCCGGUUUAGUCAGUCCUCCGGGAAAUCUGUCAGCUCAACUGAUAGGCUAUCGGGGGAUACUGCUAGACUUGGAACCGGGAGAGGUAAGAGGUACUACAGGGGUAGGAGUGAAAUCUUGUAAUCCCUGUGGGACCACCUGUGGCGAAGGCGUCUUACCAGAACGGGUUCGACGGUGAGGGACGAAAGCUGGGGGCACGAACCGGAUUAGAUACCCGGGUAGUCCCAGCCGUAAACGAUGCUCGCUAGGUGUCAUGCAUGGUGCGACCGUGUAUGGUGCCGUAGGGAAGCCGUGAAGCGAGCCACCUGGGAAGUACGGCCGCAAGGCUGAAACUUAAAGGAAUUGGCGGGAAAGCAC